ACCUGCUCCCUGCUGCUUAACU
rnacentral:miRNA from 1 species